CCUUCGGGUUAGUGGCGGACGGGUGAGUAACGCGUGAGAAUCUGCCCUCAGGAGGGGGAUAACGGCUGGAAACGGCCGCUAAUACCCCAUAUGCCGAGAGGUGAAACGAAUUUCGCCUGAGGAUGAGCUCGCGUCUGAUUAGCUAGUUGGUGGGGUAAGAGCCUACCAAGGCUUCGAUCAGUAGCUGGUCUGAGAGGAUGAUCAGCCACACUGGGACUGAGACACGGCCCAGACUCCUACGGGAGGCAGCAGUGGGGAAUUUUCCGCAAUGGGCGAAAGCCUGACGGAGCAACGCCGCGUGAGGGAUGAAGGCCUCUGGGCUGUAAACCUCUUUUCUCAAGGAAGAAGAUCUGACGGUACUUGAGGAAUAAGCCACGGCUAAUUCCGUGCCAGCAGCCGCGGUAAUGCGGGAGUGGCAAGCGUUAUCCGGAAUUAUUGGGCGUAAAGCGUCCGCAGGCGGCCUCGUAAGUCUGUCGUUAAAGCGUGGAGCUUAACUCCAUUUCAGCGAUGGAAACUGUGAGGCUAGAGUGUGGUAGGGGCAGAGGGAAUUCCCGGUGUAGCGGUGAAAUGCGUAGAUAUCGGGAAGAACACCAGUGGCGAAGGCGCUCUGCUGGGCCAUAACUGACGCUCAUGGACGAAAGCCAGGGGAGCGAAAGGGAUUAGAUACCCCUGUAGUCCUGGCCGUAAACGAUGAACACUAGGUGUCGGGGGAAUCGACCCCCUCGGUGUCGUAGCCAACGCGUUAAGUGUUCCGCCUGGGGAGUACGCACGCAAGUGUGAAACUCAA
rnacentral:rRNA from 1 species